rnacentral:misc_RNA from 1 species
GCAAACUUGGUCAUUUAGAGGAAGUAAAAGUCGUAACAAGGUUUCCGUAGGUGAACCUGCGGAAGGAUCAUUAUCGAAUAAAUCUGAUGUGGUUGUAGCUGGCUUCUAGGAGCAUGUGCACGCCCGUCACCUUUAUCUUUCCACCUGUGAACCCUCUGUAGUCCUGGGAUAGUAUCUCACUCGCUUCACGGCGUCGUGGAUGCGAAGGCUGGCGUGCCUCUGGUCGUCUUCCUUCGAAUUAUCCUGGUUCUACGUAUCUUAACACACCCCAACGAAUGUUUAAAAGAAUGUUGAUUUCAAAGGGCUACGGCCCAUAUAGAAACUCAAUACAACUUUCAGCAACGGAUCUCUUGGCUCUCGCAUCGAUGAAGAACGCAGC